UCCGUAGGUGGAUAAUUAAGUCAGGGGUGAAAGUCUGCAGCUCAACUGUAGAAUUGCCUUUGAUACUGGUUAUCUUGAAUUAUUAUGAAGUAGUUAGAAUAUGUAGUGUAGCGGUGAAAUGCAUAGAUAUUACAUAGAAUACCAAUUGCGAAGGCAGAUUACUAAUAAUAUAUUGACACUGAUGGACGAAAGCGUGGGGAGCGAACAGGAUUAGAUACCCUGGUAGUCC
rnacentral:rRNA from 1 species